UCACCGUGGUUGGAUGCUAAGUACAAACAUUUAACUUUCCGACACGAUUGGUUUUGUGCGCGAUGCGUUUUCCGUGCACGUGAGGCAACUCGCCAAACGAAUGACACCUCGCCACGUGCGCUCAAGCUGCUGCAGACAUGUCGCUUUGGCGGUGAGAUGUCUGUUUCCCAAAAGACGACCGGCGACGAGGAGCUUCGUUGCCAGAAAAGCCCGCCAACCAUCGUACGGCCUUGGGUCUUACUCGGAGGAGUUAUUCGAAUCAUUUCGAGUGCACUACAAAUGGCGAACGCCAGUGCCACCAGCGAGUGGCUUUCAACACCUCGCUCAAGAUGCAUAUUGAGUGUUGUGGUGCUUGGCGUGGAGAGAUUAAAACGGCUCAUCUGGGAUGAAAUGGAGAUAUAUUACAAAUGGAUGCAAAUGAGGAGAGCGAGCGCCUGUCGACAGGCCGACGCCAGAGAUUUUCUUGAAGGCGGUCCUUUUUUCGGACAGGUAGAUGCUGUCCCUGACCUUCCUGUGUGGAAUUCGCAUGUUCUCCCCGUGCCAGCGUGGGUUGUUCUCCUGGGACUCAACUUUGCUCCCCUGUUCCAGAAACAGAAAAGUUGUGGGUGUACGAAGACAGCUGCGAUCGAUUCGAGCACGCCCGUGAUCCUCGUGGGGAGAUGCCCCUCACCUAAUGGAUGGAUGUUCUUUUCUACUUUAUAAUGUUCCGACUUUCAAACAUUUUCCCUUUAAGUUUAUCGACGUAUUGAGCAACCCUGCUGAAAAUCAUAGGGAAUUCACUGACGAGCUUAGCGCUCAGCGCCUAGCGCCGUUGUUUUUGCGCUGAGCGGUGAUUCAGUGAUGUGACUAGUUGCCCUCUAUGUCCAUCAAGUAACUUGAUGUAGUACGUUCUGUGUAUUGAGCGACGUUGUUUGAAUGGCGUUUUCGACGUUUGUGUGAAAUCCCAGAGCCACAUUGUACCAGCCAAAGAGCCACAUGCCGCUCGCCAGCCCU